GGAGCGGGUAGCUUAGUCUGGUAAGCGCCCGCUUUUCACGCAAGAGAUGCGGGUUCGAAUCCCGGCGCUAACA
rnacentral:tRNA from 1 species